rnacentral:lncRNA from 13 species
CCAGCAUACGACGGAUUAUUUAAUAAUUGUGGUAAGAAAUCGAAGAAAUAAUGUAUUGUUAAGAAUACGAAGAAAAUUACGAAAUGCUUCUAAUCCAUUUAAUAUACCGGAAAACGAAUUUUGCAGUCUUUACAGAUUAUCCAAAGAAGCUGUGCAAUCUCUUAUUGAAGAUAUACCACCUCUACUACCGAAUCCAAGACGAUGUCAUGCAGUUUCUGUUGAAUUACAAGUUCUAACUGCAUUGAAUUUUAUAGCUUCUGGUUCAUAUCAAAAGCGAGUUGGCCAAGAUUAUUUAUCAUGAGUCAACCAACAGUUAGUAAAAUUCUACGCAAUGUAGUCAAUGCAUUGAAUAUUAUAAUGAAUGAUUGGAUUCAAUUUCCAAUCAAGGAUGCAG